rnacentral:rRNA from 1 species
AAGUCGUAACAAGGUUUCCGUAGGUGAACCUUGCGGAAGGAUCAUUACCGAGUGCGGGCCCUCUGGGUCCAACCUCCCAUCCGUGUCUAUCUGUACCCUGUUGCUUCGGCGUGGCCACGGCCCGCCGAAGACUAACAUUUGAACACUGUCUGAAGUUUGCAGUCUGAGUUUUUAGUUAAACAAUAAUUAAAACUUUCAACAACGGAUCUCUUGGUUCCGGCAUCGAUGAAGAACGCAGCGAAAUGCGAUAAUUAAUGUGAAUUGCAGAAUUCAGUGAAUCAUCGAGUCUUUGAACGCACAUUGCGCCCCCUGGUAUUCCGGGGGGCAUGCCUGUCCGAGCGUCAUUGCUGCCCUCAAGCACGGCUUGUGUGUUGGGCUUCCGUCCCUGGUAACGGGGACGGGCCCAAAAGGCAGUGGCGGCACCAUGUCUGGUCCUCGAGCGUAUGGGGCUUUGUCACCCGCUCCCGUAGGUCCAGCUGGCAGCUAGCCUCGCAACCAAUCUUUUUAACCAGGUUGACCUCGGAUCAGGUAGGGAUACCCGCUGAACUUAA